CCCUAGAUGUUUUGGGCCGCACGCGCGCUACACUGACAGAGCCAGCGAGUUUUUUUCCUUGGCCGGAAGGUCUGGGUAAUCUUGUGAAACUCUGUCGUGCUGGGGAUAGAGCAUUGCAAUUAUUGCUCUUCAACGAGGAAUUCCUAGUAAGCGCGAGUCAUCAGCUCGCGUUGAUUACGUCCCUGCCCUUGACAA
rnacentral:rRNA from 1 species